AGCGAACGCUGGCGGCAGGCUUAACACAUGCAAGUCGAGCGCCGUAGCAAUACGGAGCGGCAGACGGGUGAGUAACACGUGGGAACGUACCCUUUGGUUCGGAACAACACAGGGAAACUUGUGCUAAUACCGGAUAAGCCCUUACGGGGAAAGAUUUAUCGCCGAAGGAUCGGCCCGCGUCUGAUUAGCUUGUUGGUGAGGUAACGGCUCACCAAGGCGACGAUCAGUAGCUGGUCUGAGAGGAUGAUCAGCCACACUGGGACUGAGACACGGCCCAGACUCCUACGGGAGGCAGCAGUGGGGAAUAUUGGACAAUGGGCGCAAGCCUGAUCCAGCCAUGCCGCGUGAGUGAUGAAGGCCCUAGGGUUGUAAAGCUCUUUUGUGCGGGAAGAUAAUGACUGCACCGCAAGAAUAAGCCCCGGCUAACUUCGUGCCAGCCGCCGCAGUAACAC
rnacentral:rRNA from 1 species